AAGUCGUAACAAGGUAACCGUAGGUGAACCUGCGGUUGGAUCAUUAAUAAUCCAAACACACCUGUGUGCAGCGAGGGGAUGUCCAAGGAUCGAUUUGAUCCGAGGCGCUUCGCGUUGUUUCACAACCCAAACCAUGUGCAAACGAAACUGUACUUGGGGGCUCUGCGUUGCCUUGUGGGACAUGAAGCGCCCACACGGUCGUCCUCAGAACGUCAAAAUAGGUUUGUCGAUUCGCCGAUUGAGCGAUGAGAUGGUCUCUAAUGUUCUGAAGCCAGACCCCCGGAGGCUCCGGCCUCCAUGUUUCUCUACUCUGUGGGGUUACUGUGCAUUUGUGCGCUUGCGCAUCUGCAGUUCGCUGAAUACACUGUGUAUUGUAAAGAAUCGUUUAAAUUGAAAA
rnacentral:misc_RNA from 1 species